AACGAACGCUGGCGGCAUGCCUAACACAUGCAAGUCGAACGAGAACUUCGGGUCUAGUGGCGCACGGGUGCGUAACGCGUGGGAACCUGCCCUUAGGUUCGGAAUAACUCCCCGAAAGGGGUGCUAAUACCGGAUAAUGUCUUCGGACCAAAGAUUUAUCGCCUUUGGAUGGGCCCGCGUUGGAUUAGCUAGUUGGUAGGGUAAAAGCCUACCACGGCGACGAUCCAUAGCUGGUCUGAGAGGAUGAUCAGCCACACUGGGACUGAGACACGGCCCAGACUCCUACGGGAGGCAGCAGUGGGGAAUAUUGGACAAUGGGCGGAAGCCUGAUCCAGCAAUGCCGCGUGAGUGAUGAAGGCCUUAGGGUUGUAAAGCUCUUUUACCCGGGAUGAUAAUGACAGUACCGGGAGAAUAAGCUCCGGCUAACUCCGUG
rnacentral:rRNA from 1 species